CAAGUGGGAACCAUGAAGAAAUUCAUGCUUUCCCCACCAACUGUAGAUAAUAUAUAAAAUAUAUAAAAUUUGCUGUGCCAAUGCAAAUUAGUUCCUGAGAAUUAGGACACAUCUUAACUGACCAUUGAAGUCAGUUUCAAACUACAAUCCACUAGAAAUCCUUUUGGGAGGUACAUGUUGUGCAGGUCUGCUCUAAUACAUGGCUGAGGAGCAUGGGUCCCACCAGAUUUUGAACUGCAUCAACAUCUUGGAGGAACGCACAUUCCUCAGCCCUAUUCUAUCUAUUGUGGCCAAAAGGAUAGUUCAAGUUGCUGUUCAAAUAGUGGAGAGCAUGAGAAGUAUCAAUCAUUGAUUGUUUCAUCCUUACAUACAGGAGAACUUCUCCCCUUUGCAAAGAAAAUAAACAUUAGCAAUAUUGUGUCUGUAACCAAUUGUCCCAAAGGACAUUUUUGUAUAAAGCUGCCAUUCCACGCCAGCCACAUUAUCAUAGAAAGUAGAUACCUAGCAGGAUGUCACACCUCUCUUUGAUGUCGCACCUCUCUUCAUUCGCUCAAUUGUGCCGAUUUGCUAAUCCAUGGGAACAUGAUCAUACUUCCACAUACACUUGUAACCUUGCUUCCUGCAAUUCCGCUGCCCCAUAAUUGUUUGCAGUUUCAGCAACAAAUAAUAUAAAAGCAAAUAUAUCUCUAAAACAUUAGAUAUAAACAAAAAAGGCCAUUCAGGAAUAGCAAGGGGGAGAAGAAGAAAUUCCCACCUCCUGGUGUCAAAUCUCUGCCAGCAUGCCAGCACAGAAGACAGACAGACCCAUUAAACAAAGUAGAUGACAGGAAAAUUGUGCGAUUGCAAGCUAUUGUUGGGUUUUGCUUGUCAAUAGUGGAGAUGGGUUAAUCUUGGGGAGGAGGCCAACUGGCAGUGGGAUGUGCAUGGCAUCAUGUGAUAGGGACAGUCACUAGCUUUAUUGGGGGUUUGCUCUUGUAAGAUAAAGUCCAAAGUUUAUUAAAAUAAGAGGUUUUGUGCACAGAAAAAAAAUCUCUUGUUUUCUUCAGUUUUCUGUACAGGGGGGCCAUUGGUUGUGCAUUUUCUGCACAGAAAAACAGUUUGUUGUGGGAAAAUGCCUUUUUUUCUACUGAAUAAUUAUUUUGUAAUAAUUUGGGAUGUUUGAAUAUUAGAAGAUAAGUGUGCAAAAUUCUUAUUGGUCAAUUAUUCCCCUCAAUAAAAAUUACUAGCUAUCAGUUUUUCAAACUAAGAAUGGAUAAUUACAACUUUUUUUUCCCUAUUCCUAGUAUGCUGAAUGGUUCCCACCCAGCAAUAUGGGCAAACCAAAUCAGCAAAACCUGCUCUUUCCUAGACUGAAUUGUUCACUCACUGAUUUUCUUUUGUUUUUGUUUUUUCUUGGAAGGAGAUAGCAGGCUAUACAUAGAAAAUGAAGUGGGAUUAAAGCCUGUCACCUUCACUGCUGAACAUAAAAAAGAACUCAAGUGGACUAGGCUACAGCUAACAUCCAACAUUCUUAUCAAAAGAGACAUGAAAUUUAGAAUAUGAUCUGAAAGGCAUAUCAAUGUGGUUAACAAUGCAUGAAGAUUAAAAAAAUCAUACAUCUUUAUGUAACAUAAAUGCCUCUUCUUCUGUAGUGACAUGGCAUAUGAAGAGGCUACAUGUUGUGAUUUAGCCAAGUGAAGGAUGCAUUCAAAUGAAGAUUUUAUUUUAUAAAAGUGGCACCUAUGGCCACCUACUUAAAAGGCCAGUUCCCGGACAUCGUCAAGAGACAAAGACCCUUCCUGGGGAAACAUCAGGUUGGCACUCAAGACUUCCCCAAAGGCAAUCACCUUUGUCUGGCAUGCAGUACCCUGGACUCUGUCUCAAUUAUCCAAUUAAGCCUUUCCUGGACACUCCUGGAUGGCCCUUUAUCUCCACCAUGGGCUAAAACAUCAUCAUAAUCCAGAGGAGGGACUUGAACCCUCCCCUCAUUCUCCAGCUCAUUGGGUGCCUCCAGGAAUUCCGGUCCAGCUUAGAGCUAUGUCAGAGCCUCAAGGACCAAUCAGGAGAAAGGCCGGUCUAGUCCUGACCAAUCAGAAGUCAAGGGGGAAAUCAGCCAACACUGGCUGCUUCGGGCAAUGAGGGCAAGGGGCGGGUGAAUUUGAAUAGUUGUCAUUUUAGCCUAUGUUACUGUAUAAAGAUGCCUAGUUUUAACUGAAUUGUUAUACUUGCACAUUUGGAGCUUUAUUACCCUUGCUAGCAUCCCUAUUGCAGUCUGAAUAAACUUCUGUUACUUGCUUUCAACCUCCUGGUAAGACUUCAAUUCUUCAUCGAGGCUGGAAUAUGGAAGUAGUGUUUACUUGCCAGGUAGUUACACUCACAGCUCUUUUGCUGGCUAGCUCAAAUCACUAAAAUUCUGGUGACAUUUUUCCUUCCUUCCUUCCUUCCUUCCUUCCUUCCUUCCUUCCUUCCUUCCUUCCUUCCUUCCUUCCUUCCUUCCUUCCUCCCUCCCUCCCUCCCUCCCU